CCUACGGGAGGCAGCAGUGAGGAAUAUUGGUCAAUGGGAGAGAGCCUGAACCAGCCAAGCCGCGUGAGGGAAGACGGCCCUAUGGGUGGUAAACCUCUUUUGUCGGAGAACAAAACCCGGGACGUGUCCCGGACUGCGUGUAUCCGAUGAAAAAGCAUCGGCUAACUCCGUGCCAGCAGCCGCGGUAAUACGGAGGAUGCGAGCGUUAUCCGGAUUGAUUGGGUUGAAAGGGUGCGUAGGCGGUCCGUUAAGGCAGCGGUAAAAUUGCGGGGCUCACCCCCGACGAGCCGUUGAAACUGGCAGACUUGAGUUGGCGAGAGGUACGCGGAAUGCGCGGUGUAGCGGUGAAAUGCAUAGAUAUCUCGCAGAACUCCGAUUGCGAAGGCAGCGUACCGGCGCCAGACUGACGCUGAGGCACGAAAGCGUGGGGAUCGAACAGGAUUAGAUACCCUAGUAGUC
rnacentral:rRNA from 1 species